UUGAAAUCCUGAACCCUGUGCCAAAUGCCAGCACACUGACAAUUACAGUUUUGCUUUCUGGCCGUUGAGCAACUCUCAGAAUAUGUGGUAGGGUUUUAUUUAUUUAUUUAUUUAUUUAUUUAUUUAUUUUUUGUCACUUUCACUAAUUUGUCAUUUUCUUAAGUGGAAAAAUAUUUUCUCGGUUCUUUGUUAGGUAAACAAAACUUUUACUCCUUUUUCCACGGUCCCCCUGAGAGGAGGCAGUAACCUCACGCAAGCUAAGCUGUGGUUUGUGUCUCUCUUUUGGCCAGAGAGCCAAGCUAAUGCAUGAUCUCAUUGAUACAUGAUCUAUUUGUAUGAACUGCAAGCUCGUGGGCUUGUCAUCGUCCUUCAUGGUGCUGGGUCAGUCACCCCGUUAGCCAUUAUAACAGGGGAAGAAGUGAGAGACAGGCGCAUCGCUAAGCCUUCUUCUUCUCAGGCCAACGCAGCACAGUUCUGUUCAGUUCAGUCUAUCCCACUUAGAGCAAGUCAUAGAAAUAUUUACAGAGCAUCUUGUCCACGCUAGCUCAGGGCAUGGUGCUGCAGACAUUACAGUGCCUUAGAUGGUUUGUGGGGAGUGAUGGCAUGACCAGGUACAUAAAACAACGUGGUAAUUGCCACAGUGGUGUGGAGAGAGCAUAGAAGAAGGCACAAAGAUUGGUGGGGGAUUUAUAGCUAGUGUCCUUGUCAUCUGAGUGGAGCCCUGAGAGACAGGAAUGUGUUUAGAGUUAGAACAGGGAAGGAGAGGAGGUGGCUGUUUUGAUUGCCUCUUCAUCCACCACAUCCCAUGGCAGGUGAUGAAACUGAGAGUUUUCUAUCAUAGCGUCCCCUUCUUUUUAGGAUGAUAUAGCGCCGUGGUUUACUUUGGGUAUCUAACCUGACCACUGAAGUUCAUUUUUGGGGGACUGUUUUCUAGUCUACCUAGCAGCCAUUAUUUUUAUACCUUCUCUUUUAUCUUCAGAACCCAGAGUUUGUUCACAAUAAAAAUGUGAACAAUGCCGUCCUCCGGCAGCCUGUAUGGCUCAAUUCUGACCAGUAAGAAGUAAGCGGUACAUUCUUAGGAGCUGUAUAUUGGUUCCUGACCGAGAUAACAUUCAUAUUUUGCAGUGGAUAUUGUGGAUGAACAUUUUAGGUGGAUUAUUUAUUCCCUAAGUAGUAAAAACUUGUCACUUCCAGAAAAUCUUAAUCUUGUCACGGUCGAUGGUCAACCAGAAUAAUUUACUGUUUACAUUCAAACAGCCAGUUUGUAUAUGCCAACUAUACUUACAGGUUAUCUUUGUGUCCUCUCUCCAUAUACAAAGAAGGAUUAUAAGAAAGGACGAGUGAGUUCUGUGUAUGAAAUGAUUCGUACUUUAUGGCUAAUACCCUGCUGACGAUAAUAUUUAUUGAAUACAAACUAUUCUCUGGGUACCAUGUCAAUAUCUAAAAGACCAUGAUCUUAAAUUUUUCUCAUGGGUAUCAUAAGAGCAACAAAGAGGGAUCUGAUGUUCAUGGAGGUGGGUGACGCAACUCUAUACAUCUGGUGAAUAGAUUGCUAAGAGAUAGGCCAGAGAUGUUAUGAUUCAGAGCAUAGGCUAGGAGAUCCUGCACACCACGGAGACUGACUCAGGCUCUUUUGGCAGUUCUGUGCUUGAGUGAAUGAGAGUUUGGGAGGGAGCCUCUCAAUGCAACUGCUACUGUUCCUACCAGCGGUUUACUUGUAUCUUAAGGUAGACAGAUACUAACCUUAAGCAGUAUGUAUGAAGAAGCCUUUCUUUUUCCUCAUAACACCCUCCAAGUUUAGCCUAGAAGUCCUAAUGUGCAUCUUCUUUUGGUAGCAAAAGUAAAUGAACUGUAAGCAGAAUAAACAAAACACAUGAGGUGAAAUAGCAUACAUGGAUUUUUUACAGACUGAUAAUAUUUCUGGCAAUCUGUUUAUUUUUUUUUCUGUAUGUCCAUCUUUAUUUGUUCAUUUACUCAUAGUUUUUUGUUUUUUAAUUUUAAAAAUUAUAUUUUGAAAUUUGAUCUUGUUUCUUCUCUGGCAUGUUUUGGAAAUAUUUUGAGUAACUUUGGUCACUCAUCUUUUCCUUCUCCAGGAAGAUCCUUAGCCUUCCUGUUUGUCCCUGUUGAACAAAUGAAGUCAGAAGUUAUACUGUAAAGAGUUUGGAGAGACUCAGUAGACCCAGUGACCUCGAGCAUCAUUCUGGCAUCAGAAAGCACAAGAUGCUUUAUUAGAUUAUAUAGACCAGUGGUCCUUCCUGACCACUGCGACCUUUUAAUUACAGUUCCGCAUGUUGUGAUGGUCCCAACCAUAAAAUUAUUUUCAUUUUUUUACUUUAUUUUAUUAUUACUAUUUUUUAUUUUUUACUUAUUCUUUUUUAAUUAAUAUUUUUUAUUACAUAUUUUCCUCAAUUACAUUUCCAAUGCUAUCCC
rnacentral:lncRNA from 1 species